AGCAGAGACGGAGGCCACUGGGCACAGGAGAGAUUUGGGAUGGAGAGCUGGUGAGCCUUUCUCUGUUCUCCACAUCUGAAAGUCUGGCUUUAGGCACAAUAUUUAUGAACUUUAGCAAUAUGCACAAAUCAAAUGAGCUGAAAAAUCAGACCAGGCAGAUAAAAGUAAAAUCAUCUUACUGAAAUUCCUGGAAACAACAGUUUCAGCCAUUUGACAUUAUCCUACCAAAAGCUAAAAAUCUAUUCUGAAGAAAGAAGACUUGCAGCAGCUUCAAAAUCUCAAACAUCUGUUGUUGUAUCACAAGGAAACUGAAAUCUUUCACGGGCAAAGUCAUGAGAUAAAGAAAAAGGAUCAAAAUAGCCAAAAAAAAAGGUAAUAAAAAUUACAACUGAAAAGGUAAAUGUUUUUAUGAGAAUUAGAACACUUUCAAAAGGAAAACAA
rnacentral:lncRNA from 10 species